rnacentral:lncRNA from 1 species
ACAUUACCAUCAAUCUCGUCCCUCACUUUUCUUAACAUAGUUAGAAUUUUCGGUAUGGUUUUCUCAUCCUUCAAAACAUAAAUCGUUCUAUACCAUUGCUGCUUUAAUAGCUUCCGUUUGUAAAAACGGGCUUUACAAUGCAUUAAACUAAUGGUACAAUGAAUAAUAUACACGUAAUAUUUUUGAAAAAAAAAUGUAUUUAUUGAAAAUAAUAAUAGAAGUAAUUUCAUAAAUUAAUAAGUUAUUAAUUAAUGUAUAAAUUAAUAAUUAUUAAUUUAUCGAUAAGUUAAU